rnacentral:rRNA from 1 species
UUGUGUGGUCAAGUUUUUAAGGGCGCACGGUGGAUGCCUUGGCAUUAGGAGCCGAAGAAGGACGUAGGAAUCUGCGAUAAGCCUGGGGGAGUUGAUAACCGAGCGGUGAUCCCAGGAUGUCCGAAUGGGGAAACCCCGCACAACGCUUUUGGGUGAUUGUGUGACCCGUGCCUGAAUUCAUAGGGUGCGUGGGGGGAACGCGGGGAAGUGAAACAUCUCAGUACCCGCAGGAAGAGAAAACAAGAGUGAUUCCGUUAGUAGUGGCGAGCGAACGCGGAUGAGGCUAAACCGUUCCAUGUGUGAUAGCCGGCGGGCGUUGCGUGGGCGGGGUUGUGGGACUUUCCGUGCUGGUUCUGCC